UUGGUUUAAAGUUAGAAAAGGGCGCACGGGUGGAUGCUUGACACUAGGAGUCGAAUGAAGGACGGGACUAACGCCGAUAUGCUUCGGGGAGCUGUAAGUAAGCUUUGAUCCGAAAGAUUUCGAAUGGGUGAAAGCCACCAUACCGGUAUGGUAUGGUAUCCCUUAUUCUGAAUACAUAAGGGUAAGGAAGACAGACCCAGGGAACUGAAACAUCAAGUACCUGGAGGAAAGAAAGCAAAUGCAGUUCCGUGAGUAGCGGCGAGCGGAAACGAAACAUAGCCCAAACCAAGAGGCUUGCCUCUUGGGGGUUGUAGGACAUUCUAAUACGGAUUUACAAGGAACGAGGUAGACGACAGCGACCUGAAAGGUCCCUGUCGUAGAGGGUAACAACCCCGUAGUCGAAACUUCGUUUUCUCUCUUGAAUGUAUCUGAGUACGGCGGAACACGUGAAAUUUCCUCGGAAAUCUGGGAAGGAGCCAUCUCCCAAGGCCUAAAUACUCCCUAGUGAUCGAUAGUGAACCUACGGAGGGAAAGGUGAAAAGCACCCCGGAAGGGGAGUGAAAGAGUCCUGAAACGUGGUGCCUAAAAAUAGUCAGAGCCCGUUAACGGGUGAUGGUGCCUUUUGUAGAAUGAACCGCGAGUUAACGAUCCCGGCAGGUUAAGCUGAAGAGGCGGAGCCGCAGCGAAAGCGAGGUCUGAAUAGGGCGGUUUAGUACGUGUCGUAGACGACCGAAACCAGGUGAUCUUACCCAUGUCCAGGGUGAGUUCAGGUAAACACUGAAUGGAGGCCCGAACCCACGCACGUUGAAAAAGUGCGGAUGAGGUGUGGGUAGCGGAGAAAAUUCCAAUCCGAACCUGAGAAUAGCUGGUUCUCCCCGAAAUAAGCUUUUAGGGCUAGCCUUAAGUUAAGGUCUUGUGAGGUAGAGCACUGAUGGACUAGGGGUCUCAUCGGAUUACCGAAUUCAGUCAACUCCGAAUGCCAAUGACUUAUCCUAGGAGUCAACUGCGGUGAAUAAGAUCCGUAGUCAAAAGGGAAACCAGCCCAGACCGCCAGAUAAGGUCCCAAGUGUGUAUUAAGUGGAAAAGGAUGUGGAGUUCUUAGACACUAGGAGUGUUGGCUUAGAACAGCCACCAUUAAGAGGAGUUCGCGUAAUAGGCUCACUAGUCGAGUGACUGCUGCGGCCGAAAAGUACCGGGCUAAAUCACCACCGAAAGCUGGCGGAAUUGUAAUACCAAUGGUAUCAGUGGUAGGGGAGCGUUCUAAGGGACAGUGAAGUAGACCGUAAAGGGACUGGUGGGAGUGCUUAGAAGUGAGAAUGCCGGUGAUGAGUAGGCGAAAGCGGGGUGAGAAUCCCGUCCACUCGAAUGCCUAAGGUUUCCUGAGGAAGGCUCGCCGCUCAGGGUUAGUCAGCCUAAGCCGAGGCCGAAGGCGUAUUAGGCGAUGGACAACAGGUUGAUAUUCCUGUAACCACCUCUUUAUCGUUUUGAGCAUGGAGGGACCGCAGAAGGAUAAGAAGAAGCGUGCAUUGGUUGUGCACGUCCAAGCAGUUAGGCUGAUAAGUAGCAAAUCCCUUAUCAUAAAGGCUGAGCUGUGAGGGGAAGCUCCCUUAUGGAAGCGAAGUCUUUGAUUCCCCGCUGCCAAGAAAAGCUUCUAGGCGAGAUAAAAGGUGCCUGUACCGGCAAACCGACACAGGUAGGCGAGGAGAGAAUCCUAGGUGUGCGGAGAGAAUCUGGUUAAGGAACUCGGCAAAAUGCCCCGUAACUUCGGAGAAGGGGUGCUUUCUUAACGGAAAGCCGCAGUGAAUAGGCCCAAGCGACAUGUUUUAGCAAAACACAGCUCUCUGGCGAAAGCGUAAGGCGAAGUAUAGGGGGUGACACUGCCCGGUGCUGGAAGGUUAAAGGAGAGGGGUAGCGUAAGCGAAGCUUGAACUGAAGGCCCCAGUAUAACGGCGGCCGUAACUUAACGGGUCCUAAGGUAGCGAAAUUCUUGUCGGGAAGUUCGACUCCGCACGAAAGGUGUAUACGAUUUGGGCACUGUCUCAACCAGAGACUCGGUUGAAAUUAUAGUACUUGAAGGAUGCAGGUUACCCGGACAGGAACGAAAGACCUCGCGUGGAGCUUACUGUAGCCUGAUAUUGAAUUUUGGUACAGUUUGUACAAGGAAUAGGGGGACAUUGAAACCGGAGCGCUAGCUCGGUGGAGGGCUGGUGGGAACGCCUAUCUGACUGUAUUGAAUCCUAAAGCUAACGGGUCUUACGAACCGGGAACAGUGUCAGGUGGGCAGUUUGACUUGGGGCGGUCGCCUCCUAAAGUUGUAACGGAGGCGCCCAAAGGUUCCGCCUCAGAAUGGUUGGAAAUCAUUCGUAGAGUGGCAAAGGCAUAAGGGGAGCUUUUGACGGCGAGAUACAAGUCGAGCAGGGACGAAAGUCGGGCUUAGUGAUCCGGGUGGGUUCGCAGGAAUGGGCCAUCGCUCACGGAUAAAAGCUACCCCGGGGAUAACAGGCUUAUCUCCCAAGAGUCCACAUCGGACGGGGAGGUUUGGCACCUCGAUGUCGGCUCAUCGCAUCCCUGGGGCUGUAGUCGGUCCCAAGGGUUGGGCUGUUCGCCCAUUAAGCGUACCGAGCUGGGUUCAGAACGUCGUGAGACGUUCGGUCCUAUCCGUCGUGGGCGUAGGAAAUUUGAUGAGGAAGCUGUCCUUAGUACGAGAGACGGGAUGGACGCACCGCUGGUGUACCAGUUGUUCUGCAAGGGCAUAGCUGGGUAGCUAUGUGCGGAAGGGAUAAGUGCUGAAAGCAUCUAAGCAUGAAGCCCCCCCUCAAGAAUGAGAUUCCCAUAGCGUAAGCUAGUAAGAUCCCUGAAAAUGAUCAGGUUGAUAGGUUCGAUGGAAUGCUAUGUGUACUGUGGAGCUGACGAAUACUAAUAGAUCGAGGACUUAACCAUA
rnacentral:rRNA from 1 species